GAUGAACGCUAGCUACAGGCUUAACACAUGCAAGUUGAGGGACCGGCGCACGGGUGAGUAACACGUAUCCAACCUGCCCUUUACUCAGGGAUAGCCUUUCGAAAGACAGAUUAAUACCCGAUAUAAAGGAUGGGGAUGCGUUCCAUUAGGUUGUUGGUGAGGUAACGGCUCAACAAGCCUUCGCUGGAUAGGGGAUCGGAGAGGAAAGAACCCCUCACUGGAACUGACACGGUCCAAACACCAACGGGAGUGAGCGGUGAGGAAUAUUGGUCAAUGGGCGCGAGCCUGAACCAGCCAAGUAGCGUGAAGGAUGAAGGCUUAUGGGUCGUAAACUUCUUUUUUAAAAGAAUAGGUAUUAUAUGAAUAAGGAUCGGCUAACUCCGUGCCAGCAGCCGCGGUAAUUC
rnacentral:rRNA from 1 species